GACGAACGCUGGCGGCGUGCUUAACACAUGCAAGUCGAACGGAAAGGCCCUGCUUUUGUGGGGUGCUCGAGUGGCGAACGGGUGAGUAACACGUGAGUAACCUGCCCUUGACUUUGGGAUAACUUCAGGAAACUGGGGCUAAUACCGGAUAGGAGCUCCUGCUGCAUGGUGGGGGUUGGAAAGUUUCGGCGGUUGGGGAUGGACUCGCGGCUUUUCAGCUUGUUGGUGGGGUAGUGGCUUACCAAGGCUUUGACGGGUAGCCGGCCUGAGAGGGUGACCGGCCACAUUGGGACUGAGAUACGGCCCAGACUCCUACGGGAGGCAGCAGUGGGGAAUAUUGCACAAUGGGCGGAAGCCUGAUGCAGCAACGCCGCGUGCGGGAUGACGGCCUUCGGGUUGUAAACCGCUUUCGCCUGUGACGAUGCGUGAGUGACGGUAAUGGGUAAAGAAGCACCGGCUAACUACGUG
rnacentral:rRNA from 1 species